rnacentral:misc_RNA from 1 species
GAUGAAGAACGUAGCGAAAUGCGAUAAGUAAUGUGAAUUGCAGAAUUCAGUGAAUCAUCGAAUCUUUGAACGCACAUUGCGCCCGCCAGUAUUCUGGCGGGCAUGCCUGUUCGAGCGUCAUUUCAACCAUCAAGCCCUGCUUGCGUUGGGGUCCUGCGGCUGCCCGCAGGCCCUGAAAACCAGUGGCGGGCUCGCUAGUCACACCGAGCGCAGUAAUACAUCUCGCUCUGGGCGUGCUGCGGGUUCCGGCCGUUAAAAGCCUUAUUUACCCAAGGUUGACCUCGGAUCAGGUAGGAAGACCCGCUGAACUUAAGCAUAUCAAUAAGCGGAGGA